rnacentral:rRNA from 1 species
CCUACGGGAGGCAGCAGUGAGGACUAUUGGUCAAUGGGCGCGAGCCUGACCCAGCCAAGUCGCGUGAGGGAAGACGGUCCUCUGGAUUGUAAUCCUCUUUUGUCGGGGAGCAAAAGACGCCACGCGUGGCGUUCCGAGAGUACCCGAAGAAAAAGCAUCGGCUAACUCCGUGCCUGCAGCCGCGGUAAUACGGAGGAUGCGAGCGUUAUCCGGAUUUCUGGGGUUUAAAGGGUGCGCAGGCGGAAGAUCAAGUCAGCGGUAACAUUGAGAGGCUCAACCUCGUCGAGCUGUUGAUACUGGUUUUCUUGAGUGAGUGAGAAGUAUGCGGAAUGCGUGGGGUAGCGGUGAAAUGAAGAGAUAUCACGCAGAACUCCGAUUGCGAAGGCAGCAUACCGGCGCUCAACUGACGCUCAUGCACGAAAGUGUGGGUAUCGAACAGGAUUAGAUACCCCUGUAGUC